CCUCUGGUAGCUCAGUUGGUAGAGCGGUGGACUGUAGAACCAUAGGUCGCUGGUUCAAAUCCGGCCCAGAGGA